UACGUAGGGUGCGAGCGUUGUCCGGAAUUAUUGGGCGUAAAGGGCUCGUAGGCGGUUUGUCGCGUCGGGAGUGAAAACCCAGGGCUUAACUCUGGGCUGGCUUUCGAUACGGGCAGACUAGAGGUAUGCAGGGGAGAACGGAAUUCCUGGUGUAGCGGUGAAAUGCGCAGGAUAUCAGGAGGAACACCGGUGGCGAAGGCGGUUCUCUGGG
rnacentral:rRNA from 1 species